UACGGAGGGAGCUAGCGUUGUUCGGAAUUACUGGGCGUAAAGCGCACGUAGGCGGCUAUUCAAGUCGGGGGUGAAAGCCCGGGGCUCAACCCCGGAACUGCCCUCGAAACUAGAUAGCUAGAAUCUUGGAGAGGCGAGUGGAAUUCCGAGUGUAGAGGUGAAAUUCGUAGAUAUUCGGAAGAACACCAGUGGCGAAGGCGACUCGCUGGACAAGUAUUGACGCUGAGGUGCGAAAGCGUGGGGAGCGAACGGG
rnacentral:rRNA from 1 species